GAAAUAGGCAUUUUGCUGUCUAGGAGGGCAGUACAGAGCCUAGGGGAUAAACACAUCCUCAGGCAACAUGCACCAGUGAGGGAAGCUAAGGCUUGAGUGGCCAAUGCUGAGUUUAGAGUUAAGAGCCUGUUGAUAUGAGUGACAGCUCAGAGUCCUCAUUGCAGCAUAAUUCAGACUACAAACAAUGCAGUGGCCUCUUAUAUUAACUUCAGAUAUUUAGGGCUCUCUUCAUUGCCAGAAAGAUGAGAAACUUUUCUUUUUUUUUUUUUUUUUUUUUCAGUGAAAAUGUGGAAGAUAAGAACAGCCUGGAUCAAAUUAAGCCUCCAU
rnacentral:lncRNA from 12 species